rnacentral:rRNA from 1 species
GACGAACGCUGGCGGCGUGCUUAACACAUGCAAGUCGAACGGAAAGGCCCUGCUGUUGUGGGGUGCUCGAGUGGCGAACGGGUGAGUAACGCGUGAGUAACCUGCCCUUUACUUUGGGAUAACUUCAGGAAACUGGGGCUAAUACCGGAUAGGAGCUCCUGCUGCAUGGUGGUGGUUGGAAAGUUUCGGCGGUGGGGGAUGGACUCGCGGCUUAUCAGCUUGUUGGUGGGGUAGUGGCUUACCAAGGCGUUGACGGGUAGCCGGCCGGAGAGGGUGACCGGCCACAUUGGGAUGGGGAUCCGCCCCAGACUCUUCCGGGAGGCAGCAGUGGGGAAUAUUGCACAAUGGGCGGAAGCCUGAUGCAGCACCGCCGCGUGCGGGAUGACGCCCUUCGGGUUGUAAACCGCUUUCGCCGGUGACGAAGCGUGAGUGACGGUAAUGGGUAAAGAAGCACCGGCUAACUACGUG